GGUGCAUGGUUGUCGUCAGCUCGUGUCGUGAGAUGUUGGUUAAGUCCCGCAACGAGCGCAACCCCUAUUGUUAGUUGCCAUCAUUCAGUUGGGCACUCUAGCGAGACUGCCGGUAAUAAACCGGAGGAAGGUGGGAUGACGUCAAAUCAUCAUGCCCCUUAUGACCUGGGCUACACACGUGCUACAAUGGUUGGUACAACGAGUUGCGAGUCGGUGACGGCGAGCUAAUCUCUUAAAGCCAAUCUCAGUUCGGAUUGUAGGCUGCAACUCGCCUACAUGAAGUCGGAAUCGCUAGUAAUCGCGGAUCAGCACGCCGCGGCGAAUACGUUCCCGGGCCUU
rnacentral:rRNA from 1 species